CCCAGCAGCAGUCAGCUGUCCAGGCAGCAUCAUUGCUGGGAUGGAGUUACACCGCUGGGGGAGGAAUGCCCUGUCUUCUUCCUCCAGGUGCCUCCCUCACUGUUCUGGUGGCCCCUGGCACUGGUGUAAGGCAGAACGGUGCUUUCUUGACAGUGUGCUAAGCAUUCACUUAGGCUGUUCUAGUGUGGGAGCAGACACA